rnacentral:lncRNA from 1 species
CCCUCGCGCGUCGGCCAGGAACCUCGGCCCCAUGCGGGCGGGCCAGCGCGGCCAGGAGGGCCGGGAAGAGGGGUCCCCGGGGCCCCGGAUGCGCUGAACUCCGGGGAGGGGAUGGGCAGGAGAGAGAGCACACUCCUGGAGCCGCGACGUCCAAACCCGGACGCACUUGAACCCGCAGCGAGGCCCGUGGCUCGCGGCCUUCGGAGAGCACCCGCGCCCCGCGCAGACCGGACGCCGGCCUUGCCCGAUCCUCGGCAUCCUUCGGCGGGGCAUACGUGAUCAUUUAACACACGGGUGUUAAGUUCAUUCUUGCUGCAAAAGAAGGCCAUUGUACCUCCUGACCCUGAAAGCAAGGGACACUGGAUUUUGUGGAUGCUCCUUGGACACACUGGAAUGCACCUUGGGCAGCCCGUGGAUCAUUUUCCCCAGUAUGAAGCAUGGGAGGAGCUGGAAAAUGAACUCAUGAGCCAGUUGAGCCAGCACAACAAGCUGGAGCCAGGAUAUGCAGCUGGGAGCGAGUGUCCAGCCAACAGCCCGUGUCUCAGGCCCUGCCAGGGGAUGAAUCAAUUAGCAAGAGAAGCAAUGAUGCAAAUGCUCCGGGGUCACUUGGGAUGCUGUUUGCCUUUUUGAUAGAGAAAGCACACCAUAAAUAACAUCACACCUCAGGAAAUCAUUCCAGGAGGCCCCGAUGCUGGCAGGGCUGCUGCCAGGGACGGAAGGAAUCGUUUGCUCAUUGUGUGUAUUUCCCCCAGCUCAGUCAAUGGGAGAUUUGUAGUAAAAUCAAAGUAUUUAAAAGGAGGACAGUAUGUGGUAACAGAGGCAUGUUUAGCAAUUUUUUUAGUACCAGAACCUGUGAUUUAUGACCCAGAGUUACAGCCAACUUUAUUACAAAAAUGACUUCACCCAUAAUAACCUUAUUCAGGGCCCUCUGAUGAAUGAUGUAGUAUCCAACAGCAUUAUAAUCUAGUAAAUAUUCAAACACAAUUCCCGCCUCCGCCUCAUUUCCAACCAACCCCUCAGAAGCAGGCUUCCCCCUUUACCUGCUGGGAGAAGUGGGGUCCUGGGUAAGGCUUUGUGCUCUGUCUGUGGGAGUUUGCCUGGAUCAGGCAUUUAUACUAAGCCAGGACAGAAAGUGACCUCCUGGGGUCUCAGUCAUAUCUUGUCCAACCUUGUCCCCUGAGGAGUAAUGAGCAGAAGACACCCACUCACCCUUCAUUUCCUCUCUGUGCUGAAACUUAUUUCCUCCCUGCAUUCCCCCACUCCUCCAGAGCUCAGAUCCCCACCACCUGAAAGGAGCUCCAGUAAGCUCCCUGACAUUUUUAAUUGCCAUGGUAACUGAGGGCUGCACUAAAACCGCCAGGGCUGGGUGUCCAAGCAGGGUCCCCUGGGCGUACCGGGAUCUAGAAACUAGCCCUCCAUCUUAUUAAACUCCGGUGUCAGUUCCUAGCAAUUGUUUUAAAUUUACACCCUCAGAGUGGCUUAGUGGGAUUACAUGUCCAUUUGCAUUAAAACAGUUUUCUGUCAUUAAACUGCCAUACAAUAAGCUUCCUUGGGACAAAUUAAUGAGCUCUAAAUAUCAUCAAGUAGAAGUUCACUUCAAGACAGGCAACAAGGAGGGGGGUCGGAAGGAAGUGGCUGCUCAGAAUCUCAUGGCCCAGGAGAACGAUAAGUGCCAACUAAAGAAGGGUCUUGUCCUGUUUCUUCACUGCACGAUAAGUGGUCCUGAUUUAGAGCUGAAUGGGGAGAUUUGGCAAUAUUCUCCCUGUUCGCCAAAAUCCUAUAGCUCAUCUUCUAUUCCUUCUUCCAAAUAUGACUUUACCCUUGACUUUGCUGAAAUUUGCUGAUGAAACACUGACCUCUUGUCUCAGUGACAAUGUCUCAGCCUCAUUUUCUUUGUCCUGUAGUUUCUCUGUCCUUGAGGAACUUGCGUGCAUCCACGUGGCCUGGGAACAACACGCACACAACGCAGCACUAUGUGUAGCUUGAACAAGUGCUCCCUAACUUUGUUAGUUCCCACACACUUUGCUAAAAUGCAUGUAUGAUUGCUACUGAACUGUCUGGGUCCUCAGACCUUAUCGGGACCCUGGAACACGAGUCCUGAUCAGGAGCACCUUUCAUGGUCAUCAGGAGCAGAAUAGGAACAGGGAACAGUUUAGCUUCUAAGACUGAAUUUGUCCUGCUCACAAGAAUCACCAGAGCUUGUCCUCACAAAUACAUAUGUGUGUCUAAGUAGAAAUUUUUCAUUAACACCAAAUAAACCCCCAAACCUUCCCUUAUGUAAAGGAAAUAAGACUGGCUGCUAGACAGACUUCUUGAUCCACAGAGGCUGUGAUCUCAUUUCUGUGUAGCCUUAACAGGGGACAGUAAUGUAUGAUUGAGACACUGCUAUAUUUAGGAAUGACAAGAUGAACAUUAUUAAUAGCUUAAUUGACAUUAAGGCAAUUACCCCUACCCUUAUUACAGUUUGUAGAAUUACACAGAAAAUAUUGGCUGGGGCCUUUUUUUCCCUAGAGCUACCCAAGGAUACAGCAUUUUAUUUCAUGCCAGAUCCCAGCUUUGACAUUAGAUACUUAGCCAUAGAAUGAUUCCAGUAAAUCAUUAUAAAUGCAUUAUAAUAAAGAUGUUAUGAGCUAUCAGAUAUUAACCCCCAACCCCUAAAGAGAGAUAAAUAGUCCAGUUGCAUGAUUCCCACUUUUGUUUCAUAAGAAAUAAGCUUUUGCAAAGAGCAACUGACUAAUGAAUUAUAAAAUGGUGUGUUGAGCUCAGAUAAUUAAACAAUGCAUUUUAGUGUCUAGUGCAGGAUGAACACUAAAUCAUACACAAAUAAAAAAGGUAAAAAUCUGAGCCCCAUGCCUAACUCCUAUUUUUGAAUAACAUUAAUGUUGGUCUACAGUCCAAAAAUGCUUCAACUAUUUUCUUAUCUGAUUAGAGAGGCAUAUCAAGUAUAAGAUCAAGGCACAGUAGGCAAACUAAACCAACAGUCAGAACAAAAACUGUGAAGGUGCUAAUUUCAGAUAAGCCCACAAGGUUAUUUUAAUGGAGAUUUUACAUGGAGAUUGCUUUUUCCCCCAAAGUGUUAAUGGGACAAAAGUCUAGAAGGACCUGGAAGUUUUCAGGUUUCCUUAUACUUUAUAUUUUCUCUGAACUCAUAAUAAAGCAUAUUAGUGGGAAUGGGAUCUAUGCUAUUGGUGGUGGUCUUAGCCUUAUAGUGUUGGAAAGAUGAAUACACAUCCUAAAAUCUUCUCUAGGUUGUGGAGGUGCAGGGAUGAGGAGGGGUUGGUUUGGGUUUCAACCAUUAUCCUCCCCAGGUGGUGGUAUCCUGCCCAGCAGGGCUUCAUCUAGUGGUCAACCAUGGAACACCAUGACAUUUUCACCAGUGGCCCUCAGACAGGGCUGGUUUGCCAUUGGCUGCCAUUUCCUGGCAUGUCGUAGAUUUGCUGCGUGAUUUGAAGCUGUGCUUCAGCACAUCCUGAAUGUGUUUUUUAGUCUUUCAGUAUCUCAAAGACAUGGUGUCCGCCUCAAGGUAGUCUCCUAUUUCUUCGUCAAAUAGCACAUCAUUAAGGACUGUGUGGCCAAAAUUACAGAUGGUCUUGGACUCUGUAUGGGCAAUGACCACCUGUGCUGGUAAUCGAGGCUUCCCUGGAACACCUGGGAACAUACCACACAGCCAGUCCUCUCCUGUGCUCCAGUCAAGCUUAACCUCACAGCCCGAUACUCCCUCCACUUCCCUAGCUCCAUGUGUUAGCCACUGCAGGUUAAUUGAUCUAAGGCUUAUUUUCUUCAAAUAUAAAAUGAAGAUAAUAAUGCCUACCCAGAGGGUCAUGUGAACAUUAAAUGAGAUCAAUUAUGUAAAGAUCUAUCUAUGCAGUGCCUUUCACAGAGUAUGCCCACAAAUAAAUGUUACCUGUUUCAUUUUAGUUAUCUAUGUUUAGCUAUCUUUGUGUUUUUUCUAUCCUGCUUCUUCUCGCUCCACUAUACUCUUACAUCCUAAUUCUCUCUCUCUCUCAUACACACAUACUUUGCUGUGUCUAGCACAGUGCUUUGCUUGUGGCUCACACUCUACAUGCUUGUUACCCUGAACUAUUAACAAAAGCAGCUGCUAGUAACAGUUAAUGUUUUCUGACCACCUACAUGAGCCAGGCACUAUGCUAAGUAUCAUCACUUCCUUUAAUUCUCACAAGCUUAUGAGACAAAUACUAUUUUAAUUCUCAUCUAUCGGAAAUUAAAGAUUAAAGAUGUUCUAUAACUUGCCCAAGGUCACACAAGCUCUUAAGUGGAUAGUCAAGAUCCAAACUCAGAACCGGCCUGGAUUUGAAAUCUCAGUUCUUAACUAUCACUGUGUCAGACUGAUUUUGUUAGCUUUUUCCUCCUUUAGACUGGGCCCUAUCAAGGGAUCAGAGAUAAGCAUGUACCCACUCUCAGAUGAGUGAUCCCACGACCUCAAGUUUUGAAGUUCCAGGAAGUCCAGAAGUGUAUGCUAACUCUAGUUUAUAGCUGUUCAAAAGUCACUUGUCUAAAAACUUCAGGGACAUUAUGUAAAACCAUCCAAAAAACAUUAUUGCACACCCCAUAAAGUUAAUUUCACUUUGCAAGAAUGUGUUUGAGGGAGGUGAUGCACUUGGCUAUGUAUUCAGGUUGGUGGCCACAAUAUAUGGAGCUGUGCUGUCAUCCUUGACACUCUGGCUUACUGGCAGCCUCGCUCCAACACACUGUCACAGGCGAGGGAUGGCCUCCCAGUCUUGACUCAGAACACUUAAGCUUCCUAAUGGUCCAAGUCUCACAAACCACACACCUCCCUUAAUUAAAAAAGUAAAUUAAAAGGAGUAUUUCAACUUAGGGAUGAAUUAUCUUAGUAAUUUAAGAUUGACAUUUUAUUGGAUAAAAGGACAUGUAUGAGUUUAUUUUAAAAUACUGCCUUCAUGAACAAGAGACCACAGAAAAGAUUAUCCUGAGGUUGCAAGGCGUUUGUAGAGCCAGAGGACACCCUUGCAAAACAGCCACUGUGAGAGGCCAGUUGCUGCAAAUCACAGGUCAGCCACUUCUACACUUGUCCUUCAAGCACAUCAGCCGGACAUUUGGAGUUUUCUAUAGUCUUCAUUUCAAACUCGAUCAUCCUGAGUGUUGUGGUGGACACUACUAGUGUCACAAAGAGUCCAGCACCCUCUCCUUCCAGGUAUAUAAACGGUGCAUUGCUGGGCUCCUUUGCAGUUGGAUAGGUCAGGUAAUUUGUCUGUUGUGAAGAGUUACUAUGUUUCACUUCUAAGCCGAAGCAUUUGAUUGUCAAUGGAAUACCCUCCAGCUCUCUCCUUCCCUGCAGAAGUAAUCUUGGAAGCAUGUGUUGAGAUGACAGAGUUCCCAAUAGCCUAGAUUCCUGAAUGACUUAGUGGAGCUGAGUCCUCCACAGGUCCAUGUUGGACAUGCACAAUCAGUGAGAAUAAACUUUUGUUGGAUUAAGUCACCGAUGUUUGGAGACUGUUCAUUACCACAACAAAAUGUAGCCAAAUCCCGACUAAUCCAGGAAUUAACCUUUUGUUCAGAAAAUACAGCCCUUCUAAGUCAUAAACCCAUAUUCUCUUUCCAAUAGCUUAUUAAAUGGUUUAUGUAUUUUCCAUCUUUUUGAUAUACUCUCAGAUGCCUAAAAUUACCACAGUGACCUUGGAUUGGACAAGGUAGUUGUUUGUCUUUUAGCCAUUAAUAAAUAUUGCUACUGUGGAAUGAGUGAGGGAAACAGAAGAAGACAAGGUUGGCCUUUUGAAAAUAAUAUGGCAUCAUGUAACGAUGAAAAAGAGAAAAAAUACAGAAAAAAGAGAAAACAAGAGAAAAAUGAAAAACAAGUCUAUAAGAGAGAAAAGUAGAGAAAAACAAAACAAUAGAAAUGCUGGGCAAUUUGUUUCAGAUUCACUAUAACCAACUGCUUGUUGUUGGGUUCUGCUCUAGAAGGCAUCUCUCAGGAUGCCUUUGACCCUCAGCACCUUUUUGUGUAUGUGCCUAGCAUACUGAGGUGCUCAAUAAAUGUUGAUUGAAAGGGUAAAUAAAGGAAUAAAUUUCCAUUUUAUAAUCUUGGAAGCAUAUAUUACUUUAAACGGCCUAUGACUAUGAAUGGACAUUCCAUUGCACAUUGAAAGGCAGUACAACAAGUGAGAAGGGAAGUAGAAAUAUAUGAGUUUGAAUAGCUCUUCAUAACCUUUAAACCUGAGUCCUUGCAAAGAGCAACUAUGAGGUCAGAGCAAUAAUUCUUUGUCCUAAAAACAGGACACCACUGAUAACUCAGAGCCGUCUGUUGAAGAAAGUGUUUCAAAUAAACUGGUUAGCAAUGCCCUUGUUUUGUUUGCCUCUGGAUGGGAAGAACUAGGAGUGCAAUCAGCACCGAGGUGUCUAUAGUCUUGAUGUGGUGGGAGAUGAAAGUAGGGGAACUGAAUAAUGUAUUUUUUCAAAACCUUGAAUGGAGCGAGAAAUACUGAUAAAAAGGAAGAGUUGUGAGUCAUUCUUCUGCUGAUGCCAACUGGGAAGCUCCAGUAGUAUAUUCCCCUGGUGAUGAAGUAAUUCACUUUUUCUGAGAUUAACAUUCUGUAGUAAGGCUGUUCCUCAUACAAGGUUGCUCACAGGUAAAGUUAAUAAAAGGCAGAGUCUAAGAAUUCAUAAGGAAGUUUGCCUUUCCAUGGGGAGAAAGCAUGCAAUCAGGGUCUCUAGUCUGUGUGCACACGUGUGUGUGCGCGUGUGUGUGUGCGCGCGCGCACUCAUAUGCACAGCUCAGAUGUCCAGGACUUGAGAUGAGAAUGGAAAGCACCGAAUAAGAAGAAAGCUGCCACACAGUAGGCUGAAGGAGAAUGACUACAACCUUUAGGCUGAAAAAAAAAAAACACUACAUGCUGGCGUGUAUCCUUGUGGAUAUGUGGAAACACAACAAAAAUAUUGGUCCAUCCUGGCUGCAGUUUUAAAGGAAAGGAAGAUCUCCUGGCAUCAACAUCUCUUGGAGAUGAACACACUAUACAUGCAAGUUCAAAUCUAUCAUCUUCCACCAGUCAACCCAAGCUACAUUCCCCUUCCAUUUAUUAUCAAAGGAAUAAGCACUUUUGUUUCCCAGGCUUAACUCCUCAAAAUCAUGAGCUUUUCUUCCCUACCUUUCCCUUCAUUCGAACUCUUUCCUUUCAAAAUGUUUAUAGAAUUCAUUCUUAUCCUCUCCCUGCCUGGGGGGUUUAUCUAGCUAGUCUAAAUUCUAGAUCAUUGCCUUUCUAUAGGAAAUAUAAAACACACAAAUAAUGAAAUACCCAUAAUCCAAGGCAGAAAUCAUGAGUGUUAUAGUAACAAUGGCCUCAAGAGCUAGACUGCCCAGGCAGCUCAUAUU